rnacentral:rRNA from 1 species
AAAUUAAAUGGCUGCAGUAACCAUGACUGUAAAAAUGUAGCAUAAUAAUUCGCCACUUAAUUAGUGGAUAGUAUGAAUGGUUCAACGAAAAUUCCACUGUCUUAUAUAAUUAAAAAAAAAUUUAAAUCAUAGUUAAGAUGUAUGUAAAACUGUAAGACGAAAAGACCCUAUAAAGCUUAACUAUAUUUCUUAACAAUCCAAUUGAAAAAUUAAUUUAUUAAGAUUUGGUAGUUUCAUUGGGGCGAUGAUCUCUAAAAAUAAACAGAGAUAAACCUAUACAAUAAGAAAAUUUACUGUAUAAUUAAUAAAUUUAACAGUUACAAAGUAGGGUAUAAUGACCCAUUAUUUUAAUAAAAAAGAAGAUAAUGAUCAAUAAAUAAAAGCUACUUUAGGGAUAACAGGAUAAUAAUUUCUUAGAGACCCAAUCGAAGAAAAAGUUUAUCACCUCGAUGUUGAAUUAAGAUAACCUAAUGACGCAGC